ACUAGAGGCAGGCUGCUGCAGUGACCCACGUUAAUACGUCCGAGUUUACAGCAGAAACAAAAAACGGUGUGACUGAAAGAUGCCCUGACGCAGGCGGCUGUAGCUGCUAGCUGUCUGCUAGCUUUCCCUCAGCUAACUGGAGUCCCUGAACUGGACCUCUGGACCGUGUUGGUGCUGUUGGAGCCUUUUUAUGGACUGCCGUGGAACAAAGAUCAUCCAGGAUAUCUGCACUCCACUUCUGGUGAGAGCAACAGUCCAAACAUCCAAAAUCCAAAGAGAGGACCAAAAGGCAGAAAAUCCAGAGUGAACCAGGCAGGGGGGCUAAUCCAUGAAAAAGAUCCACGGAUUAAGCAGCAGGGAGACAGGACUAUAUAUACACAGGAGACUGGAAUACAGG